rnacentral:lncRNA from 1 species
GUAAGUCUUUAAAGGCAUGCACCGAGCGGCCUCCAAAAAUGAAAAAAAAAAAACACUAUUUAGUCGGCUAUUAAAUGCCCCGACCAUUAAGAUUUAAAAACAAAAAUCAAACAAAACUAAACAGCCUUAUUGAUAACAAAAUAAUUUACGAAAAAAACUUGACCGACAUGAAUUAUGAACAACAACCACUGUACUACAUGUUUCCUGGCUUUAGAAUGGACAUUGGCACAUAAACAAUGUGGUGGCCAUAAACCCAACCCUCCCAAAUGAACCAAACCUUAAGGACAACACAUCGCAAGAAAAAAACUGUAAAAUAUCAGUUGCAAUUCGCGUCCCUAAAAAUAUGGGUACGGUGCACAAUAAUCACUUACAUAAAAAACAAUAGACACA